CCUCGGGCCCGUAACUGCGGGCGAAGAAGGGCUGGCGACUACACUUCCCAGAGGUCCUCGCGCGUGGGUCCCACCCGGGCAGCCGCGGAGGACGCCGCGCUUUCACAGUCACCCCAGUAGGGACCGCUAUCUGGGCCGAAGGAGUCAGAGAGUGGACUCGAGUACCCCUGUGUCCGCUCAUUCCGGUGAUAAUCACUGAGCGCCUGCUCUGCGCCAGGAGCGUGUUGCCGGGGGGCGAGGGAGGGGAGGGCACAGCGGUAGAUCCGGCAGGAAAGAUCCUGCUUUGUGGGAGCGAGCGUACACUCCUGUGGACGAGGUCAAUAGCAAAAAUGUAAAUCCACCAACUAGAUAAUUUCAGGUGCUGCCUUCAGCUGUAGGAAUAAGACAGUGAAGGGAGUGGAGCAACGUUACCUCUUCUAUGCCGUCUUCACCCUUGAGUCGCUACCAAAGGUUGGGACCCUGCUUCCUCAGACCAUGUAUGCUACGACUAGGAUCCUUGAUGAACUGGUGGAUACCACAGGGGGGAAAACCCUCAGGGUCGAAGAUGAUUGCAAGCUUUAUCAAGAGGAUGGACAUUAAAAAAAACAAUGCUGCAGGAGUUCCUAUUGUGGCGCAGCAGAAACGAAUCCGACUAGGAAAUGUGAGCUUGCGGUUUCAAUCCCUGGCCUCACUCAGUGGCUUAAGAAUUGGGUAUCGCUGUGAGCUUUGGUGUAGGUCGCAGACAUGACCGGGAGCUCACAUUGCUGUGGCUGUGGCCUAGGCCGGCAGCUGUAGCUCUGAUUCGAACCCUGGCCUGGGAACCUCCAUAUGCCUCCAGUGGGGCCCUAAAAAGACAAAACACAAACAAAGGAGACAGUGCUUUCCACUACUGCCGAAUGAAUAUAAUGCUCUGGAAAUUCAGAAAGAAGACUGAGUGGUCUAAGGAAGCCUCGCUGAGGCAGGGACUCAGUAGAGUGAGACUUAAGGAAACAAGUGCAAGAACAGGAGGGAGAGAAGGAUUCCAGGCUGCAGGAACUGAGGAAUCCAAAGCCCCAAGGUGCCUACAGAUUGAUGUGUUUGAGAAACUGCUGCCAAAUAGAUGUAGUGAAACAUGGAGGAGUGGGUGGGGUAGAGGUAGGGCAGAUAGGCUGGGGUCUGAUGCACAGGGUUUUGGAGGCUGUCAUUAGGAGUAUGGGUUGUACACUGGGUUUGAUGGAAACCACUGGGUUAGCAGCAGCAAUGGAAUCGUUUACUACUAUGAGGGGAUAAAAUAAGCUUUCCCUUUUGUCCCAGAAUCUGUAAGAAGGACUCAGAGCUGAGAUUAAAUUCGUCUACAUUCAAAAGAGAGAAAAAAAUGUCAUUUUUCAGAGACCUAGAAGAAAUAAUUCUAAAAUUUCUGUGAAAAUGCAAAACACACGGGUUCCCUUCAGUGCUCAGUGGUGAAAAACCAGCCUGGUAUACGUGAGGACUCAGAUUCUAUUCCUGGCCUCAUUCACUGGGUUAAGGAUCCAGCGUUGCCAUGAGAUGUGGUGUAGUUUGCAGAAAAGGCUCUGAUGCAGAGUUGCUGUGGCUGUGGUAUAGGCUGGCAGCUACAGCAACCAUUCGACCCCUAGCCCGGGAACUUCCAUAUACCACAGGUACACUCUUACAAAAAAUUUAAAUUAAAAAAGGGGGAAAAAUGGUCUCCCCGUCCUUUUAUUCUAUAUCUAUAUGGUGUGAUGGAUGGUCCCUGGACUUAUAGUGAGAGUCUCUGCCUGAUGUCCGUGAGUCAAAGUAUGCUGGACACCUGGCACUUGUACAGUGCUCUACUCCAUUAGUUCUCAAUCAACCUGGAAGGAAAAAAGGAAACCAAAAACCAUCUGGGGUCAGACACCUCAGGUCUUACAAAGGGGGUCCGGGCGAUGAAUUUUCCCUGCUUCGAUCAACCGGUGCGCCAAAGCCGCCCCCCCCUUUCCGGGCGGCACCCCAAGCCAGGAUGGGAAAGGCGAGGCAGAAACCUUGAGGGGGGCAAGGCCGCCCCCUUGUGGCCAAUGCGAGGCUCUACCGCUAUCCCAAGAUGAAUGUCAGAAAGCAAAGCACUCUCCACGUCGUCGAGAGCACCCAGCAGAGGGGUAGCCUUUAGGAAGCCCCCAAGGCCUCCCCAAAGUAAGGGCAAAGGGGCAUCAGAUGAGAACAGGCCGAGCGGAAGGGGAGCAGCCUGACGUUUCCUCGUGUUCAUGGUAAGGGGAUGCAAAGGAAGACAAUGGGGCUUUAGCUCCCAGCGGAGGUGAGAGAUGGAUGCGCCUCACCGCGGCAGGAGCCUGUGAAUCACCUGGCUGGGAGAAGGCACGGGGGAGGGUGGAAGAGCGAGCAGACCCUCCAAGUCCGGGGGAAGUGGGGUCCCUGGAAAGAACUCACAAACCGACUUGCAUUUUGGCUGUGGGACUAAAUAGCUGUAAUGCUGGAUGAAAUAUUUCUGAAAUCGUUUAAAGUGAAUUGGCGGGUUAGAAAACUGGGAAGGCAUACAGAGGCCAAAAAGGAAUCAAAAUUGAUAAUGGAGAGUGGCGGAACACUGAAAGCGACUUUUCACCUGGACGUCAUUUGACAAGUGAGGCCGACCCGAGCUUCAUUUUUAAUGCUCCUGUGAUCCCAGGGGCCAGGUGAAGAAACCCAAAUCCCAUCCAUCGUAGGGGGUCUACGAGCGCUCCCUUGUGCACCCGAGGGAGCACACACUCACACCUUUCUCCAGCCUGCGAGCUGCACCUGGCGCCCUCGUGUGGACACCGGCUCUAACAGCCACUCAGGUUUUCCUCCUCUUCCUGGCUGAGCAGUCCCCGGCGGGGGCUGCCUUGGCCUUGGGCAAUAGGCUAGAUGGAUUUCCUCGCCCCGCGUUCAAGAGAUACCAAGAAGUGCCCUUCCAAGUGGGCUCUUUGUUUUUCAAAGGCUUUCAGAGCCCUGGGGCCAACCUACGCCAGGUCUCUCCAGUUAAAUGCUCAGCCUCCGCCCCAUCAUGUCAUGAUAGCCUUCUUUUGCAUGUAUUCUUGCACUUUUGUAUUUAUGAAUAUAUAACUUUUUUUCUUUAAUUUCCCAACUGGUAUUAUUUGAUUCAUAAAACAAAGUCUCGCUUCUUUCUUUUUUUCUCUUUCACUCUUUCCCUCUUUCUUUCUUGAUUUAGUGAUCCCACCAAAAGUGUGUGUGAGUUGUCUGCCCACUGACAGUUUUCAAACCACACAGGAUCCCAAACCCAACCCAGUGACAAAGAUAAAUCUUUCAUCCAGGGAUCCAGAAGGGAACUCAGUGAGAGCUUUCAUUUUAUCAAUCUACAUGCCUUAAUUCACCCAACCUGGCUUUAAAUUGUGGCUUCACACAAGAUGUAUAUAGAGAACAAAGAGGCUCACAUGUAAAGAAAAUGACAGAGUUUCAGGAGACCUCUUAAGAGAAAAAGCACAGAGAUUAGUGCAGCUGCUCAACAAAAUACGACCGUUUCACCACAGAGUCCUUCCCACAGAGUCACUGAACCUCCUUCUGGUCCCUCAUCCACAUUUGAGCGCUUUCAUUGCUCCGCCUGCCUGGGUGAAGAAGGAACUGCCUCUGCCUCAGGCUCAGCUUUUCUGCAACCUGAUUCCCCUCUGCCACAGAGCUUGAGGAAGUCAUAGGUUCUGGGGUUCUGGACAACUUUGGGCAGUGAUUCUGCCCCCUGGAGGCAGAAGGGUAAAGGGCAGGAGGAGACCUCUCCUGGGAGUAAGGUGCCUGAAGGUGGGCUGUCAGGAAGCCCCGCCCAGACAAGAGGUAGAGUCUAUUCUAAAGGUAGUAGAGGCGGGUGGGCAGGCCCUUUUUACAAGCUCCACCUGGGGUCCUGGUCUGUGGAGGAGGGCAGAGCAGAGAGCAAGGGGCCAGUGAGGAGCUGCAGGCAGGGAAGGGGGAGGAGAGCAGAGGGGGCAGGGCAGGAAAUGUGAGGGUGGGAGGUGGAGGGAAGGUGGGAGGGAGCCCAUGGGGCCUGAGUCUGGAUGGAGGUAAGGAAUGGGAAGCCAGCCAGGUGCUUUGGGGCAGCUGAGUGGACGUCCCCAUAAGAGAUCAGUAGCCCAGGUCCACUGGCAGCAAUGACGGAGGGAUGAGGGUUCUGAAUGGAGGGGCGAGAGGCCCCUGGAGAAUUCACCCUAGUCAGCCUCUGAGCCAUCCCAACAUUUGUCCACUCUGUUCCUUGACUUCCAGCCAGUGGGGGGGUGGGGUGCAGGUGGACAAGGCACUUCACUGAGUGGAGGACUCACCAAGAGUAGCAGACAGGAAUGAGGAAAGGGGGAGGGGCGCACCCUCCUCGGCUGUAGUCACCUUGGGGUCAGCGUCAGGCGCAGGUGGGCCUGCAGGUGUGGAUGUGCCUUGGGGAUCCACUUCCAUCCACUGAGGUCACCUACCCUGGUCGGGACUGUGACAAGGGCCACUCAGGGUGGAAGGGCUGGACACUUCCAUGGAGGACUUGAUGGUCUGUUGACCAAUGUGCUCAGAGAACGCUGCUGUGGGCACUGGGGGGACAAGGCAACAGAGCCCUGGAGUGAGAUUCUUGUCUGCUGCAGCCCUGGGAUCCAGUGACCACAGUGAUGGACAGUGACCAGAGCUCAGCCAUUCAGUCAGGUCAUGCUCACUUCCAGUCCACUGACCACUGAGCCCUGUGGUCACACCCAGGAAAGCCUCACAUCCUGGUCCUCUAACUACUGGCCCCUGAAAUCACCCUCAGGACCCCUUCAUUUCUUCAUUUCCCUAUCCUCUGGCCACUGGGAACUGUGGUCCCACUCAGGACAACUUCACCUCCUUUCCUCUGACCACCGGACCCCGUGGUCACAAGUAGCACUCCUCAUGUCCUGUCCUCUGACCACUGGAUGCCACGGUCACAGGCAGGAGGUCCUCAAGCCCCCUGUGAGGGCCUGGUCAGCCAGGAGGAUCUGGCGACCCCCAGCUGGGCAGUGAGGUCCCCACAGUGUGAGUCCAUCUGGAAGUGGGGGUUGCAGCCGGUGCUGGGAUGGGGGCAGAUCAGCAAUGGGAGGUAGCUCCGCCCACACCCGCAGGAGCGGGAGUUUCCAUCCAGUCACAGCCCAGCGUGUUGGAUGACUGCGCAGGCCCCCUGUGGGAGGAGAGAUGCUAGGGGAGGCAGAGCUGCGGGCCGAGGCCGAAGACGCUGCGGGCUCGGAGGUCGCAGGUUCUACCCAAAGUUCACUCUUCCACUUCCAUCUAAGCUGCUUCUUCCUGUGUCCAACGUCUGUUUCAGGAGUGGACCACAGGUAGGUGAUUGAAUUAAAGAAGGCUCUCAUGAGCCAUUGUGUGGGGAGGCAGGGAAUUUUAAUGCAUUUGGGUGGCGUAGGUUGGGUGAGUGCUCUGGUGGACACUGAGAGAGAAAUAGCCCAGUCUGUAGGGCACAUCAUGGCACUGGAAGGGUGAGGAGGGAGGAAAUCAAGCUGGCAGGUGCAAAGGCCAGCGCAGUCCUGGUGAGCUGCUGAAAGAAAUGAAAGGGAGCACUGAGUUGUCGUUAGAGAGGAAGGCUGCCAGCUGUGCCAGACCAGCAGCAGAACCCAUCUGUACCUUCCUGGCUGCACCUCCAGACUCAGAGGUGCGAUUGAAGCUGGGUUGGUAGAACCCCCAGGAUGUACCCAGGGCUGUGGUGUUGGUUACAAGGCGCCCAUAAUUGCCCAACCUCAGUGUGGGGUCACACCUGGGACUUCAAAAUCUGACUGGCAUUUCCAGCCUGGUCGUGGAGCCCAGGGGUCAGAGAGUUUGACAUGUUCUCUGGAGUUGGACUUCCCUUGUUUCAGGAGAGGCACAAUUUAGGACCCAGAAACAUUGGUCUUGAAUCCUGAGCUUGCAGUUUUCAUGUCUCUGGCUUCCGUGGGUUUAUCAUGUACAGAUAAGGGCUGUUAUCCAUGAAGGGAGAACGUAAAAGCUGUACUAUUUUGGUUGGUGGCUGUGCGAAUUGCUGUGGCUUUUCUCUUAGGACAUGGCCCUAAAUUCCUUCUUUUCUAUCCCUUGAGCCUCUUUUUCCUGUAUCCUUUUUCUGUUUCAGGGAGCAGCCGUAAAAGUACUU